CCUACGGGUGGCAGCAGUGAGGAAUAUUGGUCAAUGGACGAGAGUCUGAACCAGCCAAGUAGCGUGAAGGAUGACUGCCCUAUGGGUUGUAAACUUCUUUUAUAUGGGAAUAAAAUGUUCCACGUGUGGGAUUUUGUAUGUACCAUAUGAAUAAGGAUCGGCUAACUCCGUGCCAGCAGCCGCGGUAAUACGGAGGAUCCGAGCGUUAUCCGGAGUUAUUGGGUUUAAGGGGAGCGUAGGUGGAUUGUUAAGUCAGUUGUGAAAGUUUGCGGCUCAACCGGAAAAUUGCAGUUGAAACUGGCAGUCUUGAGUACAGUAGAGGUGGGCUGAAUUCGUGGUGUAGCGGUGAAAUGCUUAGAUAUCACGAAGAACUCCGAUUGCGAAGGCAGUUCACUGGACUGCAACUGACACUGAGGCUCGAAAGUGUGGGUAUCAAACAGGAUUAGAUACCCCGGUAGUC
rnacentral:rRNA from 1 species